GGGGAAUUUUGGACAAUGGGCGCAAGCCUGAUCCAGCCAUUCCGCGUGCAGGAUGAAGGCCUUCGGGUUGUAAACUGCUUUUGUACGGAACGAAACGGCCUGUCCUAAUACGAUGGGCUAAUGACGGUACCGUAAGAAUAAGCACCGGCUAACUACGUGCCAGCAGCCGCGGUAAUACGUAGGGUGCAAGCGUUAAUCGGAAUUACUGGGCGUAAAGCGUGCGCAGGCGGUUAUAUAAGACAGAUGUGAAAUCCCCGGGCUCAACCUGGGAACUGCAUUUGUGACUGUAUAGCUAGAGUACGGCAGAGGGGGAUGGAAUUCCGCGUGUAGCAGUGAAAUGCGUAGAUAUGCGGAGGAACACCGAUGGCGAAGGCAAUCCCCUGGGCCUGUACUGACGCUCAUGCACGAAAGCGUGGGGAGCAAAC
rnacentral:rRNA from 1 species